GUGCUCAUUUUGGCAGUAUAUAUACUAAGAUUGAAAUCAUACAUAGAUGAUUAGCAUGGUCUGCUUAUGGAUGACAUGCAAAUUUAUGAAGUGUUCCAUAUGAAA